CCUGGCUUUCAAGCAGACUAUUGAUCCAGAAAGUUACUUUCUAAUUUAUUUAUUUAUGUUUUAUUUGGGUAGUGGAGUCCCUUUAACUGUCCAGUGGCUACACCCAGACCUGGAGAUGUCACACAGCUUGAGCAGCUGUUAUCCAAGGAUACAAAGUUGGAUAACAUAUGGUGACUAAGAAGAAGAUAGGAAGAAGCAAGUUCAUUUGGUGUAUGCAAAGUUUUACUACC